AGUGAACGCUGGCGGUAGGCCUAACACAUGCAAGUCGAACGGCAGCACAGUAAGAGCUUGCUCUUACGGGUGGCGAGUGGCGGACGGGUGAGGAAUACAUCGGAAUCUACUUUUUCGUGGGGGAUAACGUAGGGAAACUUACGCUAAUACCGCAUACGACCUACGGGUGAAAGCAGGGGAUCUUCGGACCUUGCGCGAUUGAAUGAGCCGAUGUCGGAUUAGCUAGUUGGCGGGGUAAAGGCCCACCAAGGCGACGAUCCGUAGCUGGUCUGAGAGGAUGGUCCGGCAAAACGGAAAGGAGGACAGGGCCAGAACCCCUCGGGAGGGAGGAGUGGGGAAAUUUGGAAAAAGGGGGAGAGCCUGAUCCAGGCCAACCGCGGGGGGGAAAAAGGCCUUCGGGUUUGAAAACCCCUUUUUUUGGAAAAAAAAACAGGCGGGUUAAACCCCCGUUUUUUGAAGGGACCCAAAAAAAAAGGCACGGCUAAAUUCGUG
rnacentral:rRNA from 1 species